UAGGGAAUCUUCGGCAAUGGGGGGAACCCUGACCGAGCAACGCCGCGUGAGUGAAGAAGGUUUUCGGAUCGUAAAGCUCUGUUGUUAUGGAGGAACGAGUGUGAGAAUGGAAAGUUCAUGCUGUGACGGUACUUAACCAGAAAGGGACGGCUAACUACGUGCCAGCAGCCGCGGUAAUACGUAGGUCCCGAGCGUUGUCCGGAGUUAUUGGGCGUAAAGCGAGCGCAGGCGGUUAGAUAAGUCUGAAGUUAAAGGCAGUGGCUCAACGAGUGUAGGCUUUGGAAACUGUUUAACUUGAGUGCAGAAGGGGGGAGUGGAAUUCCAUGUGUAGCGGUGAAAUGCGUAGAUAUAUGGAGGAACACCGGUGGCGAAAGCGGCUCUCUGGUCUAUAACUGACGCUGAGGCUCGAAAGCGUGGGGAGCGAACAGG
rnacentral:rRNA from 1 species